rnacentral:rRNA from 1 species
UGCGUAGGGUGCAAGCGUUGUCCGGAAUUAUUGGGCGUAAAGAGCUCGUAGGCGGCUUGUUGCGUCGACUGUGAAAACCCGCGGCUUAACUGCGGGCUUGCAGUUGAUACGGGCAGGCUAGAGUUCGGUAGGGGAGACUGGAAUUCCUGGUGUAGCGGUGAAAUGCGCAGAUAUCAGGAGGAACACCGGUGGCGAAGGCGGGUCUCUGGGCCGAUACUGACGCUGAGGAGCGAAAGCGUGGGGAGCGAACAGG